GCUGGCUGAAGAGAUAUCCUAUGUCACAUGGUGUCAUGCUGAAGAAUAAAACUGGGUGAUUCUUUCCUGUUGAAUUGGACGUGUUACAAUGGAGGUCAUGUACCACACAGAUUUGAAGGAUGAGCUUCCUGUGUCCUUGGACUGAGUCAUAGGUCUCAUCUGCACAGAUAAGCGAGGGUAGCCUACAAGCCGUGGUUAUUCUGCAGUAAUUUCCAGGUCAGCUGUGUGUGCCCCACGUUGAAAGGACUCAGCCCAUUUGCCAUCCUUGGUCCCAGCCCAGUGCUGUGCCAAAUCCUACCAGAAGGGCACAAGUUUCUCAACAGAGCAGCCCUUCUGUGGUUUUCUGCAGUGCUUGUGAUGACCUACUACAGUGCUCAAGUAAUUGGUCGGUUUGAAGAAGAGCUUUUCAGACUCCUAAGUCAUCUAUUCUCUGCACAGCUGGUUUCUGAGACAGCUCUUGCCUGCUCAGCAUGAAUUAACACAUGAAAGGAUUUCUUUUUCCAAAUCUACCUGAAAGAUAGGAAGUCUAGAUUGUAAUUGGAAGAUGGAAAAAAUCAGCUUUCAUCUCAAGUACCAUACAAUCAGAAGAGAGGCAACUGGGACAACAACCUUAAGAAUGAGCUCUCACACCUUCCUCUACAAAGGAAGCAGGAAGGACUGAACUCCACAAGAGAUGCAACAUAACCUUAAUGACUGCUGUUCAGAAGGCUUGCCAAACAAUACCAGAACAAGCAUGGACCGAUGAGGAGGUUGCUCAACACUUUGCAGUUCUUAAGGUCAACAGAGGUGGUUAAGGAGGGCUAAGAACAUUGUUGGCUUCCAAUUGCUUCUGUUGGUUUCCAAUUGCUUAUGUGCUCUCAUGCCAGGGAAUGAAAAGAUGAUGGAGAAGACAUGGGAAGAAAUAAAAUAAAGGCAUGGAGACACAUGGUGCCAAGAGAUUUUAAAGGGAUGGAUGAGACUUCACAUCAGGGUAUUUUGGGAAGGUAAGAGGAAUGACAGUCUGAAGGAUCAGGUAGUGACAUUUAAGACGUUCCUGAAAAAUUAUUUGUCUCUGUUCUCGACUU